rnacentral:tRNA from 1 species
GGACGCAUAGCUCAGCUGGUUAGAGUGCCUGCUUCACACGCAGGAAGUCCACGGUUCGAGUCCGUGUGUGUCCACCA